rnacentral:rRNA from 1 species
UCUUCCGAUCUAGCGUGCACGGUGGAUGCCUUGGCAGUCAGAGGCGAUGAAAGACGUUGUAACCUGCGAUAAGGUGAGGGGAGCUGGUAAACAAGCUUUGAUCCUCACAUUUCUGAAUGGGGAAACCCAGUCUAUUAAUAGACUAUCCCAUAGUGAAUACAUAGCUAUGUGGAGGCGAACCCGGGGAACUGAAACAUCUAAGUACCCGGAGGAAAAGAAAUCAACCGAGAUUCCCUAAGUAGCGGCGAGCGAACGGGGACUAGCCCUUAAGCUAGAUUGAUGUUAGUGGAACAAGCUGGGAAGCUUGGCCGUAGUGGGUGAUAGCCCCGUACAUGAAAACAUCCUUUUAGUGAAAUCGAGUAGGACGGGACACGUGAUAUCCUGUCUGAAUAUGGGGGGACCAUCCUCCAAGGCUAAAUACUCCUGACUGACCGAUAGUGAACCAGUACCGUGAGGGAAAGGCGAAAAGAACCCCUGUGAGGGGAGUGAAAUAGAUCCUGAAACCGUGUACGUACAAGCAGUGGGAGCGGACUUGUUCCGUGACUGCGUACCUUUUGUAUAAUGGGUCAACGACUUAUUUUCAGUAGCAAGGUUAAGCGUUUAGCGGAGCCGUAGGGAAACCGAGUCUUAAUAGGGCGUAUAGUUGCUGGGAAUAGACCCGAAACCGGGCGAUCUAUCCAUGGGCAGGUUGAAGGUUGGGUAACACUAACUGGAGGACCGAACCCACGUAUUUGAAAAAUGCGGGGAUGACUUGUGGAUAGGAGUGAAAGGCUAAUCAAGCUCGGAGAUAGCUGGUUCUCCUCGAAAGCUAUUUAGGUAGAGCCUCGCACCAACACCAUUGGGGGUAGAGCACUGUUAAGGCUAGGGGGUCAUCCCGACUUACCAACCCCAUGCAAACUCCGAAUACCAAUGAGUGAUAUGCGGGAGACACACUGCGGGUGCUAACGUCCGUUGUGAAGAGGGAAACAACCCAGACCGCCAGCUAAGGUCCCAAAGUACUAGUUAAGUGGGAAACGAUGUGGAAAGGCAUAGACAGCUAGGAGGUUGGCUUAGAAGCAGCCAUCCUUUAAAGAAAGCGUAAUAGCUCACUAGUCGAGUCGGUCUGCGCGGAAGAUGUAACGGGGCUAAACUAGGCACCGAAGCUGCGGAUUCAAUCUUAGGAUUAAGUGGUAGGGGAGCGUUCUGUAAGCCGUUGAAGGUGGAUUGUAAAGUCUGCUGGAGGUAUCAGAAGUGCGAAUGCUGACAUGAGUAACGAUAAGGGGAGUGAAAAACUCCCCCGCCGAAAGACCAAGGUUUCCUGUCCCAUGUUAAUCAGGGCAGGGUAAGUCGGCCCCUAAGGCGAGGCGGAAACGCGUAGUCGAUGGGAAACAGAUUAAUAUUUCUGUACUUCUAUAUAUUGCGAAGGAGGGACGGAGCAGGCUAGAUGAGCAUGGCGUUGGUAGUCCAUGUGAAAGUGAGUAGGUUGGCGACUUAGGUAAAUCCGGGUUGCUAUUAAGACUGAGACACGAGACGAGUCACCACGGUGAUGAAGUUGUUGAUGCCAUACUUCCAGGAAAAGCCUCUAAGCUUCAGAUUAUAUGGAAUCGUACCCCAAACCGACACAGGUGGUCAGGUAGAGAAUACUAAGGCGCUUGAGAGAACUCGGGUGAAGGAACUAGGCAAAAUUGUACCGUAACUUCGGGAGAAGGUACGCCAACAUUAGGUGAAGGUCUUAACGACUGGAGCUGAAGUUGGUCUCAGAAACUAGGUGGCUGGGACUGUUUAUUAAAAACACAGCACUGUGCAAAAUCGAAAGAUGACGUAUACGGUGUGACGCCUGCCCGGUGCCGGAAGGUUAAUUGAUUCGGUUAGUCCUUGGACGAAGCUGAUGAUCGAAGCCCCGGUAAACGGCGGCCGUAACUAUAACGGUCCUAAGGUAGCGAAAUUCCUUGUCGGGUAAGUUCCGACCUGCACGAAUGGCGUAAUCAUGGCCACACUGUCUCCACCCGAGACUCAGUGAAAUUGAAAUUGCGGUUAAGAUGCCGUAUACCCGCGGCUAGACGGAAAGACCCCGUGAACCUUUACUACAGCUUGGCACUGAACAUUGAACCUACAUGUGUAGG